rnacentral:rRNA from 1 species
GACAGAGGUGCCGAGCGUUAGGCGGAAUCACUGGGCUUAAAGCGUGUGUAGGCGGGCCGUUAAGUGCCCCGUGAAAUCCCCCGGCUCAACCGGGGAACGGCGGGGCAUACUGGCGGCCUUGAGCCACUUAAGGGCAGACGGAACAAGCGGUGGAGCGGUGAAAUGCGUAGAUAUCAGGAAGAACACCUAUGGCGAAGGCAGCUCUCUGGGACGGUACUGACGCUGAGACGCGAAAGCGUGGGGAGCAAACAGG